rnacentral:rRNA from 1 species
AACGAACGCUGGCGGCAUGCCUAACACAUGCAAGUCGAACGAAACCUUCGUGUCUUGUUGCGCACGGGUGCGUAACGCGUGGUAACCUGCCCUUAGGUUCCGUAUAACUCCCCGUAAGGGGUCCUAAUACAGGUUGAUCUCAUCCCACCAAAGAUUUAUCGCUUCUGGAUGGGCGCGCGUUGGAUUAGCUAGUUGGUAGGGUACAAGCAUACUAUGGCGACGUUGCAUAGCUGGUCGGUGAGAAUGAACAGACACACUGGGACUGAGACACGGACCAGAAUGGGAGGGAAGGGAGGAGAGGGGAAUAGUGGAGAAGGGGGGAAAGCGUGAUAAAGCAGUGUGGGGGGAGUGAUGAAGGGGUUAGGAAAGUAAAGCUGUUUUAGACGGGAUGAUAAUGACAGUAACGGGAGAAGAAGCACCGGCUAACUACGUG